rnacentral:misc_RNA from 1 species
GUGAAUCAUCGAAUUUUUGAACGCAAAUUGCACUCUCCUCGGAGACGAGGCCUAUUUGAGGUUCAGCCUAUAAAAAAUCCACAUCGUUGCUUUUUCGCGGUGGCGUGCGUCGGAAAUUUUGUCAUCUUAAAUCUUUUGGUUUUAAGCGACUUAAAAUUUUCUUUUUGGUUCCAUGAACGUUGCUAAGAUCUAGUUCUUUACACGUUUGAGGUAUCGAUUUUGACUUGACGUGACCAUCAUAUCUGAUCGCGUCCAUAAUCAUGCAUUAACUGACCUCAGACAGGUAAGAGUACCCGCUGAA